ensembl:snRNA U6 U6 spliceosomal RNA
GUGCUCACUUCAGCAACACAUAUACUAAAAUUGGAACAAUACAGAGACAAUUAGCAUGGCCCUUCCACAAGGAUGACAUGAAAAUUUGUGAAGUAUUCCAUAUUUUU